rnacentral:misc_RNA from 1 species
GAUGAAGAACGUAGCGAAAUGCGAUAAGUAAUGUGAAUUGCAGAAUUCAGUGAAUCAUCGAAUCUUUGAACGCACAUUGCGCCCGCCAGUAUUCUGGCGGGCAUGCCUGUUCGAGCGUCAUUUCAACCCUCAAGCCCCAGUGGCCUGGUGUUGGGGACCGGCGACCUCGCCCGGGGGAACACCCCCGGCGCGUCCGCCGCCCCCGAAAUGAAUUGGCGGCCCCGUCGCGGCCUCCUCUGCGUAGUAGCACAACCUCGCAGCGGGAGCGCGACGCGGCCACUGCCGUAAAACGCCCAACUUUUUUUUAGAGUUGACCUCGGAUCAGGUAGGAAUACCCGCUGAACUUAAGCAUAUCAAUAAGCGGAGGA